AGUGCGAUAGCUGGGUCAAAUGGUGGAAUCAUUCCCAGCUUUCUCAGGUAUCGCCAUACUGCUUUCCAAAUUGGCUUUACCAAUUUGCAGUCCCACCAGCAGU
rnacentral:pre_miRNA from 1 species